AUUGAACGCUGGCGGCAGGCCUAACACAUGCAAGUCGAACGAGUGGCGGACGGGUGAGUAAUGUCUGGGAAACUGCCUGAUGGAGGGGGAUAACUACUGGAAACGGUAGCUAAUACCGCAUACCAUCAGAUUUGCCCAGAUGGGAUUAGCUUGUUGGUGGGGUAACGGCUCACCAGGGCGACGAUCCCUAGCUGGUCUGAGAGGAUGACCAGCAAAAUUGGAAAUGAGACACGGUCCAGACCCCUACGGGAGGCAGCAGUGGGGAAUAUUGCACAAUGGGCGAAAGCCGGAUGCAGCAAGGCGGCGUGUAUGAAGAAGGCCUUCGGGUGGUAAAGUACUUUCAGCGGGGAGGCGUUACCCGCAGAAGAAGCAACGGCUAACUCCGUGCCAGCAGCCGCGGUAAUUC
rnacentral:rRNA from 1 species